GUGGGGAAUCUUCCGCAAUGGACGAAAGUCUGACGGAGCGACGCCGCGUGAGUGAAGAAGGCCUUCGGGUCGUAAAGCUCUGUCAUCAGGGACGAAUGUCCGGUGGAGUGGAAAGCCACCGGAUUGACGGUACCUGAGAAGGAAGCCACGGCUAACUACGUGCCAGCAGCCGCGGUAAUACGUAGGUGGCAAGCGUUGUCCGGAAUUAUUGGGCGUAAAGCGCGCGCAGGUGGGAUCUUAAGUCCAUUUUGAAAGUUCGGAGCUCAACUCCGUGAUGGGAUGGAAACUGGGAUUCUUGAGUACCGGAGAGGAAAGCGGAAUUCCCCGUGUAGCGGUGAAAUGCGUAGAUAUGGGGAGGAACACCAGUGGCGAAGGCGGCUUUCUGGACGGUGUCUGACACUGAGGCGCGAAAGCCAGGGGAGCGAACGGGAUUAGAAACCCGAGUAGUCC
rnacentral:rRNA from 1 species